rnacentral:misc_RNA from 1 species
GAUGAAGAACGUAGCGAAGUGCGAUAAGUAAUGUGAAUUGCAGAAUUCCGUGAAUCAUCGAAUCUUUGAACGCAAAUUGCACUCUCUGGUAUCCCGGGGAGUAUGCCUGUUUGAGGGUCAGUGUUAAUAAAAAUCGGUGCGUUGCACUUUAUUGUGACGUUCUGGAGUUUGAGUUAUCUUAACUUUUAGGUUAAGAGGCUUAAAAUUGACCUUUUUUUUGUGCAUUUUAGACGUACAUAAAUUUUCUUUUAUUUGUCUUUUAAUGCCAAAAUUAUAUUAGAUGCGAGCAUAUCGUGUGGUUUCGUGUCUAUAAAUUUUUCAUGAUUUGACCUCAAAUCAGGUAGGAGUACCCGCUGAACUUAAGCAUAUCAAUAAGCGGAGGA